AGUGAACGCUGGCGGCAGGCCUAACACAUGCAAGUCGAACGGCAGCACAAGAGAGCUUGCUCUCUGGGUGGCGAGUGGCGGACGGGUGAGGAAUGUAUCGGAAUCUGCCCAUUUGUGGGGGAUAACCUCGGGAAACCGGGACUAAUACCGCAUACGACCUACGGGUGAAAGCAGGGGAUCUUCGGACCUUGCGCAGAUGGAUGAGCCGAUGCCGGAUUAGCUAGUUGGAGGGGUAAAGGCCCACCAAGGCGACGAUCCGUAGCUGGUCUGAGAGGAUGAUCAGCCACACUGGGACUGAGACACGGCCCAGACUCCUACGGGAGGCAGCAGUGGGGAAUAUUGGACAAUGGGCGCAAGCCUGAUCCAGCCAUGCCGCGUGUGUGAAGAAGGCCUUCGGGUUGUAAAGCACUUUUGUUGGGAAAGAAAAGCAGCCGGUUAAUACCCGGUUGUCAUGACGGUACCCAAAGAAUAAGCACCGGCUAACUUCGUG
rnacentral:rRNA from 1 species